rnacentral:rRNA from 1 species
GAUGAACGCUGGCGGCGUGCCUAAUACAUGCAAGUCGAGCGAACAGACGAGGAGCUUGCUCCUCUGACGUUAGCGGCGGACGGGUGAGUAACACGUGGAUAACCUACCUAUAAGACUGGGAUAACUUCGGGAAACCGGAGCUAAUACCGGAUAAUAUAUUGAACCGCAUGGUUCAAUAGUGAAAGACGGUUUUGCUGUCACUUAUAGAUGGAUCCGCGCCGCAUUAGCUAGUUGGUAAGGUAACGGCUUACCAAGGCAACGAUGCGUAGCCGACCUGAGAGCGUGAUCGGCCACACGGGAACUGAGACACGGUCCAGACUCCUACGGGAGGCAGCAGUAGGGAAUCUUCCGCAAUGGGCGAAAGCGUGACGGAGCAACGCCGCGGGAGGGAUGAAGGUCUUCGGAUCGUAAAACUCUGUUAUUAGGGAAGAACAAAUGUGUAAGUAACUAUGCACGUCUUGACGGUACCUAAUCAGAAAGCCACGGCUAACUACGUG